rnacentral:ribozyme from 1 species
AUCUUUCUUCUAUUUCCAAUUUAUUUUCUUUUUUUUCCCUUAUUUUCUUUAAUCCACCGAAUAUCGUGAGAAAUAUAUAA